ACAAAAACAUUUCUUUUAGGAUAAAUAAAAAGUAAAGCCUGCCCACUGAAAUUUAAAGGGCCGCGGUAUUAUGACCGUGCUAAGGUAGCAUAAUCAUUAGUCUCUUAAUUAGGGAAUUGUAUGAAUGGCUAAACUUAGAGUUGUUAUAUUUAUAUUUAGGUUUGAACUUUAAUUUUAUUUGAAAAUUAAUAACUUUUCUAAAUAGACGAUAAGACCCUAUAGAGCUUAACAUUGUUUUUUUACUUGUUUUAUGGGGGUAAAACAAGUAAAAGAAUAUUGUUUUGUUGGGGCAACAAAAGAAUAAAAAAAACUUCUUUUAAUUUAGUAAUCCUUAAUUUUAGAAAUAAGAAGUUACCUUAGGGAUAACAGCGUAAUAAUUAUUAAGAGUUCUAAUCGUCAUAAUUGUUUGCGACCUCGAUGUUGAAUUAAAAAAUCUUUAAGGGGCAGUACUUUUAUAAGAUGGUCUGUUCGACUAUAAAAUUUUUACAUGAUUUGAUUUCAGACCGGA
rnacentral:rRNA from 1 species